rnacentral:misc_RNA from 1 species
GAUGAAGAACGCAGCGAAAUGCGAUAAGUAAUGUGAAUUGCAGAAUUCAGUGAAUCAUCGAAUCUUUGAACGCACAUUGCGCCCCCUGGUAUUCCGGGGGGCAUGCCUGUUCGAGCGUCAUUUCACCACUCAAGCCUCGCUUGGUAUUGGGCAACGCGGUCCGCCGCGUGCCUCAAAUCGACCGGCUGGGUCUUCUGUCCCCUAAGCGUUGUGGAAACUUUCGCUAAAGGGUGUUCGGGAGGCUACGCCGUAAAACAACCCCAUUUCUAAGGUUGACCUCGGAUCAGGUAGGGAUACCCGCUGAACUUAAGCAUAUCAAUAAGCGGAGGA